rnacentral:rRNA from 1 species
GGAUUAGAUACCCUGGUAGUCCACGCCGUAAACGAUGAGUGCUAGACGUUGGAAAUUAAUUUUUCAGUGUCGUAGUUAACGCAUUAAGCACUCCGCCUGGGGAGUACGGUCGCAAGGUUAAAACUCAAAGGAAUUGACGGGGGCCCGCACAAGCGGUGGAGCAUGUGGUUUAAUUCGACGCAACGCGAAGAACCUUACCAGCUCUUGACAUUGCUAAGUCGCGAGUUUUAGAGAUAAAACUCUUCAGUUCGGCUGGACUUAGUACAGGUGCUGCAUGGCUGUCGUCAGCUCGUGCCG